rnacentral:rRNA from 1 species
GUCUACGGCCAUGCCACCCUGAAGGUGCCUGAUCCUGUCUGAUCUCGGAAGCUAAAUAGGGUUGGGCCUGGUUAGUACCUAGGGAGACCAGGUGCUGUAGGCG